GAUGAACGCUGGCGGCGUGCCUAAUACAUGCAAGUCGAGCGAACAGACGAGGAGCUUGCUCCUCUGACGUUAGCGGCGGACGGGUGAGUAACACGUGGAUAACCUACCUAUAAGACUGGGAUAACUUCGGGAAACCGGAGCUAAUACCGGAUAAUAUAUUGAACCGCAUGGUUCAAUAGUGAAAGACGGUUUUGCUGUCACUUAUAGAUGGAUCCGCGCCGCAUUAGCUAGUUGGUAAGGUAACGGCUUACCAAGGCAACGAUGCGUAGCCGACCUGAGAGGGUAAUAGGCCACACUGGAACUGAGACACGGUCCAGACUACUACGGGAGGCAGCAGUAGGGAAUCUUCCGCAAUGGGCGAAAGCCUGACGGAGCAACGCCGCGUGAGUGAUGAAGGUCUUCGGAUCGUAAAACUCUGUUAUUAGGGAAGAACAAAUGUGUAAGUAACUAUGCACGUCUUGACGGUACCUAAUCAGAAAGCCACGGCUAACUACGUG
rnacentral:rRNA from 1 species